ACUUUCAACAACGGAUCUCUUGGCUCUGGCAUCGAUGAAGAACGCAGCGAAAUGCGAUAAGUAAUGUGAAUUGCAGAAUUCAGUGAAUCAUCGAAUCUUUGAACGCACAUUGCGCCCGCCAGUAUUCUGGCGUGCAUGUCUGUUCGCAUUUUUACG
rnacentral:rRNA from 1 species